GCCGUCGGUGCGGUGGAACACGACCGUGCCGGUCGCGCCGGCGAAGUCGGGCAGCUCCUGCUCGAGCUCGGCGAUCACCUCGCCGGAGGCGGUGCC
rnacentral:tRNA from 1 species